rnacentral:rRNA from 1 species
UACGGAGGAGGCAAGCGUUAUCCGGAAUGAUUGGGCGUAAAGGGUCCGCAGGUGGCAGUGUAAGUCUGCUGUCAAAGAAUGAGGCUUAACCUUAUCAAGGCAGUGGAAACUACACAGCUAGAGUACGGUCGGGGUAGAAGGAAUUCCUGGUGUAGCGGUGAAAUGCGUAGAGAUCAGGAAGAACACCGGUGGCGAAAGCGUUCUGCUAGACCUGUACUGACACUGAGGGACGAAAGCUAGGGGAGCGAAUGGG